GAGUAUUUAUGAUGCGAGAACUAGUCAAGGUAUGCUUGCAGAACCUGCUGUACCUUCGGCUGCUGCUAGAGUUCCUUGUGGGCCAAGGUCGCCUCUCUAUUAUAGAAAUAAUUAUUCUUACAUGAUGAAACAUGGAUUUCCAAAAUACCACUCUUCCAUUAUGGAAAGAAACCUGUUGGGGCCUUCAAGAAUCAUGAACCCGCAUGCACCUGAGUUUGUGCCAAUGAGAGGUUGGCAAAUAAAUCCUGGAUAUGCAGAUUCAAAUGUUUCAAAUGAGUCGAACUCUUCAAAUGACACAAGUGAGGCAGACGAUGAGAAACUUGACAAAAUGUCCAGUAUUCAAGGCGAGGAUAAUACCUCAAGAAAGAGCAGUACAGAGGCGGAGAAGUCAGAGCUGGCAAGACAGAUACUACUUAGCUUCAUUGUAAAGUCAGUCCAGCAUAAUAUGGAUGCUCC
rnacentral:lncRNA from 1 species